GACGAACGCUGGCGGCGUGCCUAAUACAUGCAAGUAGAACGCUGAAGAGAGGAGCUUGCUCUUCUUGGAUGAGUUGCGAACGGGUGAGUAACGCGUAGGUAACCUGCCUGGUAGCGGGGGAUAACUAUUGGAAACGAUAGCUAAUACCGCAUGAUAUUAAUUGUCGCAUGAUAAUUAAUUGAAAGAUGCAAUUGCAUCACUACCAGAUGGACCUGCGUUGUAUUAGCUAGUUGGUGAGGUAACGGCUCACCAAGGCGACGAUACAUAGCCGACCUGAGAGGGUGAUCGGCCACACUGGGACUGAGACACGGCCCAGACUCCUACGGGAGGCAGCAGUAGGGAAUCUUCGGCAAUGGGGGGAACCCUGACCGAGCAACGCCGCGUGAGUGAAGAAGGUUUUCGGAUCGUAAAGCUCUGUUGUAAGAGAAGAACGGGUGUGAGAGUGGAAAGUUCACACUGGACG
rnacentral:rRNA from 1 species